UACGAAGGUGGCUAGCGUUGUUCGGAAUUACUGGGCGUAAAGCGCAUGUAGGCGGUUCUUUAAGUCAGGGGUGAAAUCCCGGGGCUCAACCCCGGAAUUGCCUUUGAUACUGGGGAGCUAGAGUUUGGGAGAGGUGAGUGGAAUUCCGAGUGUAGAGGUGAAAUUCGUAGAUAUUCGGAGGAACACAAGUGGCGAAGGCGGCUCACUGGCCCGAAACUGACGCUGAGAUGCGAAAGCGUGGGGAGCAAACAGG
rnacentral:rRNA from 1 species